rnacentral:lncRNA from 1 species
AAAGUCUGAUUUUUAUAUGGAAAAGUGUGAUCAAGUUGUGACUGUAAUUAAAACAAAACCCAUAAAUAAUCUAUAAUCGUUAGUCUCUAACGGUAACUCUAUUUAUAAUUGAAAUCAUCAACAAGUUCUUACUAAUUGUUACUUUGUUAGUUUAUUCAACAAAUGACAUAUAUCAUAUGACAUUGAUAGAAAAUAAAGGAAAAGAGAAGUUAAGUGAGCAAUAUAUAAGGUCACUACCACGACUUUCUGACGAUGCAAGAGUGAAAAUAUGUGGUGGCAUUGUGGGGUUGCUGCUCCUUCCUCGUUUUCUUGGGCAGGAAAUGACUCGUGAUCAUUGAUCAACCAACAAAACUCCACCUAAUGCAUUUGCAUUCACCUUUUCUGGUUUCCCCCAUUAGCAUUAUUUCACACACACAUAUAUAUAGUUACCUCACAUGUCAUUAAAUAAGAACUACUCGCAAUCAUUUUAUACACACAUAUAUCUAGGCAUAAGCAAUC